GCGCCUCUCCAUCCCUCAGCUUCCCCCCUACGCCAGCCUCUUCCCUGCCUUCCUCCCCUUCUCAGUGAUUCCAGGACCCAGGCAGAAAGUCACACAAAACACUUUGUGUCUGUCAGCAGAUUCCUGGAAGGUCACGCUGAAUGAUGAAUGCUCCCGGUCCAAUAGAUUCAUCCGUUCCUGGUAGAAAAGGAAUCCCGAGUUGAAACAUUACAUCAAACUGCUAGUCUGCACCCCGCACCAUGAAAUAUCAGCUUUAUUGGUUCCAUUCUUCAAGACAUUGCGAAAUAAUGCAAAGCACAUUGUGUAACCAGGAUACGGCAGAUUUCAACGCACCCCAUCUCAAAUGACCUUCUUGGUUUCCUCAGCAUGGUGAAUGCAGCUACUUAAUUUGGAGAAGAUUGAGGAAGAAGAUUGGGGGAAAUCCUAGAUGAAUUAAAAAAAAAAAUCCCCCCUACCAUUUUACUUUUUUUUGUCUUUUGUCUUUUUAGAGCCACACU